CCUAACUUUUAAGACCCGAUUACAGCUCUAGUAUAAGGGUGUUUCAACGGUGCAAAACUCUGUAGCUGAGCACAUCAAAGCAGUAAACAGUCACUGUUCACUGAGAAGCUGCUGUCUUCCUAAAGGUUGGAUCCACAAACAGAUCAAGAGCUGAUAAAAAUCUUUACGGACCUGAAGACAAAAACAUGUGGAACAGAAAACAUCGCAAAGAGUUUGGGGAUUACAAAUGGUAAGCUGGACAGUCAUACGGUGCUGAGAAGAAAACUAAUAUAUCAGAUUCAGUUUAAUGUUUCCUUCUGCAGUUCAUGAACAACAUGAUGCAGCUGAAUGCCUUCAGAGGAUUUUACGUCGUAUCAGUCUACAGGCCUCUAAGGUGAGCACUUAUUAAAUCUACAAUGUUAUUUACAGGAGAACAAAUCAGAAUUCUGUGUUGGAAAUGACUUUCUCAAGCUUUUUCUCAAGGUUUUCCAAGGACAGCUGAGAAACAUAACAGAGUGCUUCGAAUCCCACAUCAUCAGUGAGGAGACAAAUCCAUUCCGGAUUCUCCCUCUGUCACUGAAAGAUACUCCUGAUACAACCUGCAGUGUGAAGUGCAGCCUUAAGAGGACAUUCCAAACCAAAACAUACACAGGUGACAACAUGGUGUACUGCAACGGCUGUAAACGGAAAACAAGAACAAAAAGUAGCUGUGAGAUGGUGGAAGCUCCUCAGAUCUUGAUUCUUCUCCUCAAGAGAUUUGUCUUUGACUACAACACCGGGUUACAUUCCAAAUCAGACUGCUGUGUGGAAGUGCCAUGUGAAUUACAGCUGAAGGCAAGGAAAAGUAAUUUAUAUUUGAAUGUUGUUGCUGUAGUUUGA
rnacentral:lncRNA from 1 species